CCUACGGGGGACUGCAGUCGAGAAUCAUUCACAAUGGGGGAAACCCUGAUGGUGCGACGCCGCGUGGGGGAAUGAAGGUCUUCGGAUUGUAAACCCCUGUCAUGUGGGAGCAAAUUAAAAAGAUAGUACCACAAGAGGAAGAGACGGCUAACUCUGUGCCAGCAGCCGCGGUAAUACAGAGGUCUCAAGCGUUGUUCGGAAUCACUGGGCGUAAAGCGUGCGUAGGCUGUUUCGUAAGUCGUGUGUGAAAGGCGCGGGCUCAACCCGCGGACGGCACAUGAUACUGCGAGACUAGAGUAAGGGAGGGGGAACCGGAAUUCUCGGUGUAGCAGUGAAAUGCGUAGAUAUCGAGAGGAACACUCGUGGCGAAGGCGGGUUCCUGGACAUUAACUGACGCUGAGGCACGAAGGCCAGGGGAGCGAAAGGGAUUAGAUACCCUUGUAGUC
rnacentral:rRNA from 1 species